rnacentral:rRNA from 1 species
GUCUAUGGCCAUGCCACCCUGAACAAGCCCAAUGUCUGAUCUCAGAAGCUAAGCAGGGUCGAGCCUAGUUAAUACUUUGAUGGGAGACCACCUAAAAAGACCAGGUGCUGUAGGCA